rnacentral:rRNA from 1 species
UGACCGCUGGCGGUGUGCUUAACACAUGCAAGUCGAACGGAAAGGCCACAGCUUGCUGUGGUACUCGAGUGGCGAACGGGUGAGUAACACGUGGGUGAUCUGCCCUGUACUUCGGGAUAAGCUUGGGAAGCUGGGUCUAAUACCGGAUAGGAAUCACAUGUGGGUGUGUGGUUGGAAAGCUUUUGCGGUAUGGGAUGAGCUCGCGGCCUAUCAGCUUGUUGGUGGGGUAAUGGCCUACCAAGGCGUCGACGGGUAGCCGGCCUGAGAGGGUGUACGGCCACAUUGGGACUGAGAUACGGCCCAGACUCCUACGGGAGGCAGCAGUGGGGAAUAUUGCACAAUGGGCGCAAGCCUGAUGCAGCGACGCCGCGUGGGGGAUGACGGCCUUCGGGUUGUAAACUCCUUUCGUCAGGGACGAAGCGAAAGUGACGGUACCUGGAUAAGAAGCACCGGCUAACUACGUG